GACGAACGCUGGCGGCGUGCUUAACACAUGCAAGUCGAACGGAAAGGCCCUGCUUUUGUGGGGUGCUCGAGUGGCGAACGGGUGAGUAACACGUGAGUAACCUGCCCUUGACUUUGGGAUAACUUCAGGAAACUGGGGCUAAUACCGGAUAGGAGCUCCUGCUGCAUGGUGGGGGUUGGAAAGUUUCGGCGGUUGGGGAUGGACUCGCGGCUUAUCAGCUUGUUGGUGGGGUAGUGGCUUACCAAGGCUUUGACGGGUAGCCGGCCUGAGAGGGUGACCGGCCACAUUGGGACUGAGAUACGGCCAAGCCUCCUACGGGAGGCAGCAGUGGGGAAUAUUGAACAAUGGGCGGAAGCCUGAUGCAGCAACGCCGCGUGCGGGAUGACGGCCUUCGGGUUGUAAACCGCUUUCGCCUGUGACGAAGCGUGAGUGACGGUAAUGGGUAAAGAAGCACCGGCUAACUACGUG
rnacentral:rRNA from 1 species